UUUCAGCAGUGCACCAUGCCUUGGUGAGAAGUGGAAGCAGACCUUUAGAGAUGCAUCCUGGACACUCCUUUUGCCCCCCUUGGUGAAAGAAGGAUGGGAUGCUGCCAGGACAGCCACAGUUUCUGCAACACAAAGCUGAAAUUACAAGAUUGUUGUCGUAAGAAAGCAGAAACAGUGUAUGGCACUCCGUGCCCUGCAGUGCUGCCGUUCUUCCGUUGUUUUUACAAACAUUGCUACCUUUCUAGGCAGCCAGGGCUGCUAAUUUCUUCUCAUUACAACUAUAUGAAAAAGAAGUGAGAGAUACCUCUAGUACACCAAUAUUAAUAUGGUGAAUAAUUAAGCCAUCAAGAAAACUGUAUAUGUUUUCAAAGAAGCCAAGCACCUGCACACGGACGAUUUCUGUCUUAUAGCUGUGUUUGAGAAUAGUGAGAAUGGGGAAAAAAGCCUUUGCUGUAUCUCCUUCAAGACAGACAGGAGUGUGUUUAUUUUCACCAAAUAUCCAUACACAUAUGACACUCUCUCAGAAAUGGACAGUUGCUGGAAGAGUAACACCUUUUUAUUCCUUAUGAUAUAUGUCCCGCACGUGCAUCUCCUGUAUGUGUGCAAAUACAGGAGGAAGGAAGUCCUGGAAGACUUGGGAGCUCUCAGUGGGAAACCAAGGCAAAGGGCACAGUUCUCAUACAAAUGGGCAAAGGCAUCUGGGCCUCAUUGAAGUCUUGCAAAUAAUUAAGAAUAUUAGACCUCUGGUUACUGAUCAUCUUGCAGAAGUAUGUAUUUCAUCUAUCUGUCCUGGAUUUCUUUUUGCUUCUACCCCAUAUUGUGAGACAGGAUAUUACAAUAAGUUCUUCAUAUUUCUUUGUCAGUGUAACAACAUUCUCCAGGCAAAAUGUGUCACACUUUUCUCCAUCGGAUUGUUAUUUCUCUAGAGCCAUAAAAGUUGGCAUACCAUAAGUGCCAGUGGUGCUUAAAAGCCUGUCUUGAUGGGGAAAUGGAUUGCAAAAAUAGUAUUUCCUUACUUUUGUAAUGAAAAAAAAAGGAACAGUUUUGUAAAAUAGCUGUUCAGUGAAAUACACAAAAAUGCCAUUAGUAUGAAGGAUAAAAGUUCUCCUGCAAUGCAGGAAGAGACCCUUUUUCGUUGUGCUUUUAUUAUUUGUAAUUAAUGUGCUCACCUCAGAUUUCUGCCAACAGCCCAGCGCAAAAUGAAUCUCUGUGCAUUCUCUCUUUGUUUCUCCUUGUUCUAUCAUGCUGUGUACCAUUAUGAGAAUGUAAGGGAAUAUAUGUAUGUAUAUAUAUGGCAGGAUCUCUAAUCACAUAUUUUUUGCUAAUUUUAGUUCAAAUACAGAGUUAGUGACAAUGUCAAUACAAACACAGUCUGUUUCAAGGUGUGUAUACCCGUGUAACAAAAACAGUCAGGAAAGGACUUAGGGAGCACGGGACAGAGGUGUGCAGCAGAACGCACCUCUUCUGUGCCAUAUCCAAAUACGGUACCUAAUUUUCAAUAGAAAAGGCAAAAACAUGGAAACAUGGCCCCAGUGUCCGCAAAGUGGACACUGCACAAACAGCAGAAAAUGCUUAUUUUUCAUCUAAUGAAGUGACUAGUCAAAUUCUGCUUACUGUAUCCUGUGCGUAGCAUAGUUGCUUAUGCGUAUCAGUAUAGAAUUUAUAUUCCUCUAUCUGCACCAGCCGAAAACAC
ensembl:lncRNA